rnacentral:rRNA from 1 species
AGUGAACGCUGGCGGUAGGCCUAACACAUGCAAGUCGAACGGCAGCACAGUAAGAGCUUGCUCUUACGGGUGGCGAGUGGCGGACGGGUGAGGAAUACAUCGGAAUCUACUUUUUCGUGGGGGAUAACGUAGGGAAACUUACGCUAAUACCGCAUACGACCUACGGGUGAAAGCAGGGGAUCUUCGGACCUUGCGCGAUUGAAUGAGCCGAUGUCGGAUUAGCUAGUUGGCGGGGUAAAGGCCCACCAAGGCGACGAUCCGUAGCUGGUCUGAGAGGAUGAUCAGCCACACUGGAACUGAGACACGGUCCAGACUCAUACGGGAGGCAGCAGUGGGGAAUAUUGGACAAUGGGCGCAAGCCUGAUCCCGCCAUACCGCGUGGGUGAAGAAGGCCUUCUGAUUGUAAAGCCCUUUUGUUGGGAAAGAAAAGCAGCAGGUUAAUACCCCGCUGUUCUGACGGUACCCAAAGAAUAAGCACCGGCUAACUUCGUG